rnacentral:rRNA from 1 species
CCCUUAGAGUUUGAUCCUGGCUCAGAUUGAACGCUGGCGGCAUGCCUUACACAUGCAAGUCGAACGGCAGCACGGGAGCAAUCCUGGUGGCGAGUGGCGAACGGGUGAGUAAUACAUCGGAACGUGCCCAGUAGUGGGGGAUAACCCGGCGAAAGCCGGACUAAUACCGCGUACGACCUACGGGUGAAAGCAGGGGAUCGCAAGACCUUGCGCUAUUGGAGCGGCCGAUGGCAGAUUAGCUAGUUGGUGGGGUAAAGGCCUACCAAGGCGACGAUCUGUAGCUGGUCUGAGAGGACGACCAGCCACACUGGGACUGAGACACGGCCCAGACUCCUACGGGAGGCAGCAGUGGGGAAUUUUGGACAAUGGGCGCAAGCCUGAUCCAGCCAUGCCGCGUGCGGGAAGAAGGCCUUCGGGUUGUAAACCGCUUUUGUCAGGGAAGAAAAGCUCCGGGCUAAUACCUCGGAGUCAUGACGGUACCUGAAGAAUAAGCACCGGCUAACUACGUGCCAGCAGCCGCGGUAAUACGUAGGGUGCAAGCGUUAAUCGGAAUUACUGGGCGUAAAGCGUGCGCAGGCGGCUUUGCAAGACAGAUGUGAAAUCCCCGGGCUUAACCUGGGAACUGCAUUUGUGACUGCAUGGCUGGAGUGCGGCAGAGGGGGGAUGGAAUUCCGCGUGUAGCAGUGAAAUGCGUAGAUAUGCGGAGGAACACCGAUGGCGA